GCUCUUUUGGUGUAAUUGGUAGCACAUCCAUCUAGCAAUCGGAAGAUGCGGAGUUCGAAUCUCGGUUAGAGCA
rnacentral:tRNA from 1 species